rnacentral:rRNA from 1 species
UACGUAGGGUGCGAGCGUUGUCCGGAAUUAUUGGGCGUAAAGGGCUCGUAGGCGGUUUGUCGCGUCGGGAGUGAAAACACACAGCUUAACUGUGUGCUUGCUUCCGAUACGGGCAGACUAGAGGUAUGCAGGGGAGAACGGAAUUCCUGGUGUAGCGGUGAAAUGCGCAGAUAUCAGGAGGAACACCAAUUGCGAAGGCAGCGCGCUGGGACGUAACUGACGCUGAGACGCGAAAGCGUGGGGAGCAAACAGG